GAUGAACGCUGGCGGCGUGCUUAACACAUGCAAGUCGAACGGAAAGGCUCCUGCUUGCAGGGGUACUCGAGUGGCGAACGGGGGAGUAACACGUGGGUGAUCUGCACUGCACUGCGGGAUAAGCCUGGGAAACUGGGGCUAAUACCGGAUAGGACGAUGGUUUGGAUGCCAUUGUGGAAAGUUUUUCGGUGUGGGAGGAGCUCGCGGACUAUCAGCUUGUUGGUGGGGUAAUGGCUUACCAAGGCGUCGACGGGUAGCCGGCCUGAGAGGGUGUACGGCCACAUUGGGACUGCGAUACGGCCCAGACUCCUACGGGAGGCAGCAGUGGGGAAUAUUGCACAAUGGGCGCAAGCCUGAUGCAGCGACGCCGCGUGCGGGAUGCCGGCCUUCGGGUUGUAAACUCCUUUCGAUAGGGACGAAGCGCAAGUGACGGUACCUGGAGAAGAAGCACCGGCUAACUACGUG
rnacentral:rRNA from 1 species